rnacentral:rRNA from 1 species
UAGGGAAUCUUCGGCAAUGGGGGCAACCCUGACCGAGCAACGCCGCGUGAGUGAAGAAGGUUUUCGGAUCGUAAAGCUCUGUUGUAAGUCAAGAACGGGUGUGAGAGUGGAAAGUUCACACUGUGACGGUAGCUUACCAGAAAGGGACGGCUAACUACGUGCCAGCAGCCGCGGUAAUACGUAGGUCCCGAGCGUUGUCCGGAUUUAUUGGGCGUAAAGCGAGCGCAGGCGGUUUGAUAAGUCUGAAGUUAAAGGCUGUGGCUCAACCAUAGUUCGCUUUGGAAACUGUCAAACUUGAGUGCAGAAGGGGAGAGUGGAAUUCCAUGUGUAGCGGUGAAAUGCGUAGAUAUAUGAAGGAACACCGGUGGCGAAAGCGGCUCUCUGGUCUGUAACUGACGCUGAGGCUCGAAAGCGUGGGGAGCGAACAGGAUUAGAUACCCUGGUAGUCCACGCCGUAAACGAUGAGUGCUAGGUGUUGGAUCCUUUCCGGGAUUCAGUGCCGCAGCUAACGCAUUAAGCACUCCGCCUGGGGAGUACGACCGCAAGGUUGAAACUCUAAAGUGAAUUGAC